AACGGAGAGAGCUAGUGUUACUCAAAUUAACUGGGCGUAAAGGGCGCGUAGAUGACUUUUUAAGUUAACAGCAAAAUUCUAGUCUUCUAGACUUUAAGGUUGUUAUUACUAUUUAGAUAGGGUUUUAGAGAGGGCAGCAGUACUUUUAGAGGAGGGGUAACAUCCUAAGAUACUAAAAGGACUACCGAUGGCGAAGGCAGCUGCCUGGAUAUAACUGACAUUGAGGCGCGAAAGCACGGGGAGCAAACAGA
rnacentral:rRNA from 1 species